GGUUUCGUCGUAUAAUGGUUAGUACAUGAGAUUCUGAAUAAUCUCCAGAUUCUCAUAAUCUGGGUUCGAUCCCCAGCGAGACCU
rnacentral:tRNA from 1 species